AUGAAUAACCGUGCCAGCUGGGAUGAGGGCACGACAAAAACUUUGCUGGACUUGAGCAUUGCUCAGAAGAACCAGCUCAACUGGAGCGACAAAUGCCUCACUAAGUUGGGAUGGAGGAAUGUGUACUCAUGCUUCAGGGCACAAACUGGGUUGCAAUUGGGCAGCAAGCAGCUGCAGAACAAGCUCAACAACAUGAGGAGGGCAUUCCUCGGCUGGCUGGCCUUGCAAAACAAAUCUGGUUUAGGGCGCGACACACAAAACUGGUGGUGUGUCUGCUUAUGCCACCUAUUGGGAGCAGGACCAACAGGACACCCAGGCGAGGUCCCAGUCGAGUUCUGUGAAGCCUCCACCUUUCCUCGACGAGUUAUUUGAGUUGUUUGUCCAUGAACCCCAAGACAGGGGCACGUUGAUGACGGCCGGAGGUAUUCGUGAGGCGACACCUAGCAUGAGGACUAAGGGCAAUGCAGCGGACUUGGAGCAGGACCCCCCCUGCUAGUAGUGCUCGUGCCAUGUCCAAACAGCCGGUCCGGGAGUUCUCUGUGGACAGUCCCACGAAAAAAAGAAGUGACAACUUGGAGCAGUACAUCAGGGACUAUCUGAGAGUGUGGCCAAGAGGAGCCUGCUACGUGCAGACCGUACCCAUGACCAAAUGGUUCGUUGUAUGCAGAUCCUAAAAGAAGAUGGUAUACAGGAGGGGUCUCCGCUUCACAACCAGGCUAUGUAUUUAUGUACUAAGAGCGCGGAGUAUCGGUCGACGUUCAUGGAGAUGGCAACGAAAGAGGGCCGAAUGAGCUGGAUACAACUCUACUGGGACAUGACCAACAAGAAGUGAUUGUGCCAUGACUGUUAGUUGUAGUGAUGUGUAUGUGAGAGUUUGGAAAAUAAUAUUUGCACUUGUGUUGGAACAGUAUUGUUAGCUUCUGUAACAUGUCCUGAUCGUUGAACCUUUCUAUGUUACUGAUCGUUGAACCUUUCUAUGUUACUGAUCAUUGAACCUUUAUUUUUAGUGGUAGAUCAAUUCCUAUAAGUUCCUGA